rnacentral:rRNA from 1 species
CCGCUUAACGGCGUGUACUGUCUGGCUGGGCCUUACCUCUUGGUGAGCCGGCGUGCCCUUUAUUGGUGUGCGUCGGGGAACCAGGACUUUUACCUUGAGAAAAUUAGAGUGUUCAAAGCAGGCCUAUGCCCGAAUACAUUAGCAUGGAAUAACGGAAUAGGACUUUGUUUCUAUUUUGUU